CCGACGCACGCGCUCCAUCGUGCGGUACGGUGUGGUAAUAAUAUACAGGGUGUAACGGAUACAGAGAGGUGGCCGAACUUUAGGAGAGAAAGAGAGAGAUUCGCUGAUCCCGAAGACGCGGAAAGGUCCUGUUGUAAUAAACAUCGUCUCGCGAAUGCUCCUUCGACGAGAUGUAAAUACCUUUUGUUUACGAGAGACGGAGAUUGUAAGAAUACUUCGUUAAGGAAACUGGCCGAUCGCAGUGAUUUCCUUCCGCGGCGAUGCACGCCCCCUCGCAUCGACGAAGAAGUCGAAAGAUUCGCCUCCGACAGGAAGGGAAUAAAUACAGUACCUGUGAUGAUUUUAAACUACGGCGAAGUACAUAUAUAUUCGCGGCGAACUCCGUCGUAAACAGAAAGCGUUCGAAACUCUUCGCCCGGAAGAAAGUUUACCGAUUCACAUCCUCGUGACUUUUUUCAUCCUCGACCGUAAAAUGAGGUCUGCGAGCAUGACUCGCACAAAAGAUAGAAGUGCGAACAAAGGAUAACCGAAUAGGUCGUUACAAACUGGGUUGGAAGAGUCAAAAGCGAAAGAAUGAAAUUAGACUUAAUUCGUUAAACCUGAGAGCGACAUUCGCGAUCUUUACGCUGAAGCAAUAUCAUAGGUCCCUCAAACCUACAUUGUGGAAAAAAAUGGCUGGUUGUCGCCAGGAAACCAGUUAUUUCAAUGGAUUAGGUUGGCAGUAGCAGUGGAUGCGACUUUCUUUUCUGAGUAAUAAAGGAAUAAGAGCGGGAUAUGGCAUCCUGCACUAAAUAUGAAAGAGGGGGUAAGCGAAAGAAAACAUGUGUAAGCCUCGUAGGCCUAACAUGCUACUGUCAGAGUCAAAGUGUUUCUUCUUCUUUUUUGUGAACGUCUGAACGCCGAUCUAGCAAUAUGAGUAUAUAAUAAUAAGAGCAACAAAUUGUAUUAGCAAUACAGAAGAGCGAUUUUCAUUUAUCUAUUCACACUACAUGCAGAAUAGUG